GCUGGUGUAGCUCAGUUGGUAGAGCAGCUGAUUUGUAAUCAGCAGGUCGGGGGUUCGAGUCCCUUCACCAGCUCCA
rnacentral:tRNA from 3 species